GUGCCAGCCGCUGCGGUAAUACGUAGGGGCAAGCGUUGUCCGGAAUUAUUGGGCGUAAAGCGCGCGCAGGCGGUUUCUUAAGUCUGAUGUGAAAGCCCACGGCUCAACCGUGGAGGGUCAUUGGAAAACUGGGGAACUUGAGGACAGAAGAGGAGAGUGGAAUUCCACGUGUAGCGGUGAAAUGCGUAGAUAUGUGGAGGAACACCAGUGGCGAAGGCGACUCUCUGGUCUGUCUCUGACGCUGAGGUGCGAAAGCGUGGUAGCAAACAGGAUAGAUACCCUGGUAGUCCACGCCGUAAACGAUGAGUGCUA
rnacentral:rRNA from 1 species